rnacentral:rRNA from 1 species
GGGGGGAGCAAACGUUGUUCGGAAUUACUGGGCGUAAAGGGCGCGUAGGCGGCCUCGUAAGUGGUGUGUGAAAUGUCCUGGCUCAACCAGGGAAUUGCGCUCCAAACUGCGGGGCUUGAGGGCAGUAGAGGAAGCUGGAAUUCCAGGUGUAGCGGUGAAAUGCGUAGAUAUCUGGAGGAACACCAUUGGCGAAGGCGAGCUUCUGGGCUGUCCCUGACGCUGAUGCGCGAAAGCUGGGGGAGCAAACAGGAUUAGAUACCCUGGUAGUCCCAGCUGUAAACGGUGAACACUAGGUGUGGGAGGUGUCGACCCUUUCCGUGCCGCAGCUAACGCAUUAAGUGUUCCGCCUGGGGAGUACGGUCGCAAGGCUGAA